rnacentral:rRNA from 1 species
CAGAGGGUGCGAGCGUUAAUCGGAAUUACUGGGCGUAAAGCGUGCGUAGACGGUUAUUUAAGUCGGGUGUGAAAGCCCCGGGCUCAACCUGGGAAUUGCAUUCGAGACUGAAUAGCUAGGGUACGGUAGAGGGAAGCGGAAUUUCCGGUGUAGCGGUGAAAUGCGUAGAUAUCGGAAGGAACAUCAGUGGCGAAAGCGGCUUCCUGGACCAGUACCGACGUUCAGGCACGAAAGCGUGGGGAGCAAACAGGAUUAGAUACCCUGGUAGUCCACGCCAUAAACGAUGAGGACUAGACGUUGGAGGGGUAAGCCUUUCAGUGUCGUAGCUAACGCGCUAAGUCCUCCGCCGUGGGGAGUACGGCCGCAAGGUUG